AUAUAAUCAACCUUCUCUUGUUUUGAGAAUGGUUUGGAAGUGGGGGUUUGCUGGCCUCUCUCAAAAGGUUCAGCUCCUCUGAAAUGCAUUAGCAGAACAACCUUUGCUCAUUGGUGUGAUAACAUCUACGCUUAUGAAUACGAGGGGGCAGUUCAGCUUUCUAACAGUCUUUGGACAAUUCAUCAUUA
rnacentral:misc_RNA from 1 species